UACGGAGGAUCCAAGCGUUAUCCGGAUUCAUUGGGUUUAAAGGGUGCGUAGGCGGAUUUGUAAGUCAGUGGUGAAAUCCUGCAGCUUAACUGCAGAACUGCCAUUGAUACUGCAAGUCUUGAGUACAUCUGAUGUGGGCGGAAUGUGUCAUGUAGCGGUGAAAUGCUUAGAUAUGACACAGAACACCGAUUGCGAAGGCAGCUCACAAAACUGUAACUGACGCUGAGGCACGACAGCGUGGGGAUCAAACAGG
rnacentral:rRNA from 1 species